rnacentral:rRNA from 1 species
UACAGAGGGGGCAAGCGUUAUUCGGAAUUAUUGGGCGUAAAGGGCGCGUAGGCGGCUUGGCAAGUGGAAGGUGAAAUCCCUCGGCUUAACCGAGGAACUGCCCUCCAAACUGCUUCGCUUGAGACCGGGAGAGGUGAGUGGAAUUCCCAGUGUAGCGGUGAAAUGCGUAGAUAUUGGGAGGAACACCAGUGGCGAAGGCGGCUCACUGGACCGGUACUGACGCUGAUGCGCGAUAGCGUGGGGAGCAAACAGG